rnacentral:lncRNA from 1 species
UCAUGCGCCGGUUCUGAAACCAGACUUUGACCUGCCUUUCGGUGAGGUCCAGCAAGGCCGCGAUCUCGACGCGGCGUGGCCGGCACAGCUGCCCCUCACCCCACCCCCACCACGCUUACCGACCUGCAGGCGAUCCGACCCCGGAGGCCGGAACGGCGGAGGCGGCCGGAGAAGGAGACGUGGCGGAUUGGCUGGGUUUCUUGGCGGAUUUCUUCUCUUUCAUCCAAGGGAACUCGGGGGCCGGGGGGGCAGCGGGGAGUGGCGGCGGCGGUGGCGGCGGCAGAGCAGGCCCAUCUUCGGCUCGCUUUUGGCUCCUGGGUCUCUGAAGGGUGGAGGCGCCGGGCUGGAGGCUGGGGAAGGUUUGCUCGAAAGGAGGAGGAGGAGGAAUUAAUGUCGACUCCUUGAUUGAUGAAGUUUGAAAUGUCUCCAAGACAGCGGGGAAGGAAGUCAGACACUCGGCGAGCGACGGCUGGCUGUUUAUAAACCCAAUCUCCCUCUCAAAUUCAAAAUUCAUGGCUUUCAAUGGUGGGGGAGGGGGCUGCUGGGGGGGGCGUCAGGAGGGAGGAUCGGAAGGGACCCCCCUCCUGCACCCCCCCCGAUUUAUGUAAUGGAGCGAUUUUGGGAGGGGGAGAUUUCGGUCUCUCUUUUUUUUAAUUUUGGGCCUUUAUAAUUGUAUAUUGCUGAUAAAUACAAGCGUAUGGGGACUCUCUCUAUUAAACCCAGGACUCCAGCGAAAUUACAGGGAAUUCGUGGUCACGGGACCGGCCUCCGCCAAUCGCUCGUCUGGGCCUGGUGGAAAACAGAGAGCAUUAUUUGGUUUAAUUGAUUCAAAAACACCAGAGGACCACGACCAGGACACCAUGAGCCCCCAUUCCUACACCAGUGCCUCACAUGCUCUCUCCCCAAUGCCUCCGUUUCUCCAGAAAAGCUAGAGGAACCUUUUCCUCAUCCCCUUCGAAGGAAAAGAUGAGUGAGGAUCUCCGCGUUGGAGGAAGAGGGAGUCGAAAGAGGCUUCCACUCUUUGAAAAAGACCCAAUGGUGGUUGGGCUUCGGGUCACGUGACACCUUCUUUGUGGCUCCGGAAGAGGAUUGUGAAGUUUAGGUUUCGUGGAAGAAACCGAUAAUUGAGGAAAAAAAAAAAUCAAGAUUUGGGGGGAAUUACCUACAAAGAUGUAAGGUGUGUUAAUUUGGGCGCUUCUUGGAUUCUACCCUGAGGAGGAGGCGCGUGGUGAGAGGAGAGAUCUUGAUCUGCCGCUCGCUGAGGUUCAGCAGGUUGGCCAUCUCUACACGGCGAGGCCGGCACAGGAAGACAACAACAGCCUGACCUAGAAACUUCCUGAUG